CGACGAUCCUGGCUCCGGAUGAACGCUGGCGGCAUGCUAACACAUGCAGUCGAAACGGAAGUGGUGUUUCCAGUGGCGCACGGUGAGUAAACGCGUAAAACCUGCCUUGGGGGGUGGAGGGGAACAACAACUGGAAACGGUUUGCUAAUACCACCCGUAGGCUGAGGAGCAAAGGAGAAAUCCGCCCAAGGAGGGGCUCGCGUCUGAUUAGCUAGUUGGUGAGGUCACUAGCUUACCAAGGCUAUGAUCAGUAUCUGGCCUACGAGAGGGAUGAUCAGCCACACUGGGACUGAGACACGGCCCAGACUCCUACGGGAGGCAGCAAGUGGGGGGAAAAAUUUUUCCGCAAUGGGCUGAAAGCCUGACGGAGCAAUUCCCGCGUGGAGGUGGAAGGCCUACGGUCGUCAACUUCUUUUCUCGUAUAAGAAACAUGACGGUAUCUGGGAAUAAGCAUCGGCUAACUCUGUGCCAGCAGCCGGGUAAGAUCAGAGGAUGCAAGCGUUAUCCGGAAUAUUGGGCGUAAGGGCGUCGGUAGGGUGUCUUUUCAAGUCCCGCCGUCAAUCCCAGGGCUCACCCCUGGACAGGCGGUGGAAACUACCAAGCUGGAUUACGGUAAGGGCCUAGGAAUUUCCGUUGGAGCGGUGAAAUUCAUGAGAGCGGAAAGAACACCAACGGCGAAGCACUCUGCUUGGCCGACACUGACCCUGAUAGACGAAAGCUAGGGGAGCAAUGGGAUAGAGACCCCAGUAGUCCUAGCGUAAACGAUGGAUACUAGUGCUGUGCGACUCGCCCUGUGCAGUGCUGUAGCUAACGCGUUAAGUAUCCCGCCUGGGGAGUACGUUCGCAAUAAUGAACUUCAAGAAUUGACGGGUGCCCGCCCAAGCGGGGAGGCAUGUGGUUUCAUUCGAUGCAAACGAAGAACCCUUCCAGGGCUUGACCAGGCGCGAUCCUCUUGAAAGAGAGCACGAGGUAAAACUCACGCUUCACAAUGGACACUGAUUUCUGCAAUGCAACGUAGUUGGGUCCUCAUAUCGAUCCGAAUGAAUCAUUCUUUCUCUACAGAUGUCAAUCUUUCCUAUUAGGCAAGAGGAUAGCCAGUUCUAAAAUUCUGUCUCGGUAGGACAUGAUUCUAAUGACUCUUAAAUUCCUAAAUUAGUUAAUGGGAGGGCUACCAUUAUCCUUUUUCUUGUAUGUUUUCCUAAGAGAAGGAAUUUGUCCAUUUUCAUGUUUCGAGGUCUCAAAAAAAGGCGGAAACAGAUAGAAACUCUUGAAUGAAAUUGAAAAGAAAUG
rnacentral:rRNA from 1 species